rnacentral:tRNA from 1 species
ACGUGGUUGUGGUGUGCGCGCCCCUGGUCCUUGAGGCGGCCCAGGUGCAGGGAGGUCAUGGCGGCGUGGUUGACGUCCACGACCAUGUC